rnacentral:rRNA from 1 species
UGAGGAAUAUUGGUCAAUGGGCGGGAGCCUGAACCAGCCAAGUCGCGUGAAGGAAGAAGGAUCUAUAGUUCGUAAACUUCUUUUGCAGGGGAAUAAAGUGCAGGACGUGUCCUGUUUUGUAUGUACCCUGAGAAUAAGGAUCGGCUAACUCCGUGCCAGCAGCCGCGGUAAUACGGAGGAUCCGAGCGUUAUCCGGAUUUAUUGGGUUUAAAGGGUGCGUAGGUGGUUUGAUAAGUCAGCGGUGAAAGUUUGCAGCUUAACUGUAAAAAUGCCGUUGAAACUGUCGGACUUGAGUGUAAAUGAGGUAGGCGGAAUGCGUGGUGUUGCGGUGAAAUGCAUAGAUAUCACGCAGAACUCCGAUUGCGAAGGCAGCUUACUAAGCUACAACUGACACUGAAGCACGAAAGCGUGGGGAUCAAACA